UCUGUCGGGCUCCUCCAGGGAGCAGAUGGAGUGGGCCCGUGGCCAGUAGCCGAAGAGGCAGCAGCUGCGAGGCCAGGGAGACCCCAGGACCCCAGCAGCUGCCGCCGGUGGGAAAAACGACCCGGACCCCAAGCAAGAUGGCGUUUAAUGAUUGCUUUAGUUUGAGCUAUCCUGGUAACCCCCAGCCGGGGGACUUGAUUGAAGUGUUUCGUUCUGGCUAUCAGCACUGGGCACUGUACCUGGGUGAUGGUUAUGUUAUCAACAUAGCACCUCUAGAGGAUGGCAUUCCUGCAGCAUUUACAAGUGCCAAGUCUAUAUUUAGCAGGAAGGCCCUGGUGAAGAUGCAGCCCCUGAAGGAUGUCGUGGGAAACGACACAUACAGAAUAAACAAUAAAUAUGAUGAAACUUAUCCUCCUCUCCCCAUGGAGGAAGUCAUGCAGCGGUCAGAGAUUGUUAUUGGACAGGAGGUGGAUUAUGACAUACUUGUCAACAACUGUGAGCAUUUUGUGACUUUGCUUCGCUAUGGAGAAGGAGUUUCAGAGCAGGCGUGCUAUGGAAAACUGCUGAUCUAAUACAGGACACUCCAUAAAGGAGUCACGUCAGCUGAGAAGUCCAGGAGGGCCAGGACGCCCUGCAGUGACCAGCCUACGUGAAGGGUCACCAGAGAAGCCCCAAUGCUUUAUCACUGCGUGUCUGGUGAAUUGUGCAUGAAUGGAUGAACGGGACCCAGAUGUUGGGAAGAAGAUGAUGCCCCAAGUGUCCAUCCUGACGAAGGCCUGGUAGUCACAGCAACUGAGUGGAGUGCUGGACACAUCACACCGUCCUUAGACUAAUGAUCUGAAAAGCAGGCCAGGUGGGCACACGAAUGACCAGUGUGGAAGGAACAUUAUAAGGCCUUCAUGUAAUUCAGCUUUGAUUGGAGAACAUAAUGAUGAACGGAAGUGAAUGUUGCCUCCCUAGAUCAGUUGCUGUUGAUGAGGAAGCUUGAAAGAAUGGUACUCUUUUUGCACACGUCAUUUGGGAAGAUAUGUCCUGGGCAAGACACUACAGAUUGUUUGCAAGGAAGGGAAGGUUUGCAAAUAGUCACAUCUGUUUCCAUAAAGAUUAAGUUUGUAUUCUUUCUAGAUCGUCUCAUUAUAAAGUUGAUCUGCCAAAGGCUAUCAAGAAAGAUACAGAGUUGAAAAUAAAAUUGCUUGAUAUUGUAAUAGAAAGUUCCAAGGACUGUUGAGACUAAAUGACUUAUUAGGAGAUUCUGUUGUUAGAAUAUUUGUUUAUAAAACUUGUUUUUAACUUAAGAUUUUCAGUUAUUUUCCAUGUGGACUUGAGUUUACCCACAAGCUUUAAGUCGCUAUGAUGUAACUAAUUCGGUUCUCACUUAAUUCAAUGUAUGUAAAAAGCUUUGUAGUUACUGUUCAAACUAAAGUACUUGCCAAUGUAAUAUAUCAUAUCCUCCUUGUAAAAUACAUUCACAAUCAAAAAAAGGACUAUAAGUGA